AAAAAAAGUUCAGAGGCAAAAUGAUGUGUUUUGCCAUUAUUCCUAAGUUAUAGCCAAUGACAAUUUGCAGCAUUGGAGUCCUAUAACUAGUUAUGAUUAUGUCACAGUUGAAUAUAAAGGACAUGUGUACCAGACAGAGACCAAAAUGGCUAAAAUUAACCAAGGAAAUUCAUGAUCACCAAAUGGAGCACCAAAUUGCAGAGAACAAAAUCAGCAAAUGCACGCUCUGGAGGUAAAUCCUUGAAUUCCUUGUUUUCUUUGUUCACUUGGAUACGGAGACAAACAGCAAGGACAGCUGUGCCUACACAAGAAAGUACUCCAGACAGAAAAGAAUUGAAUGGAAAUGAUCCAACAAUUGCCAUGUAAACUACCUGAAUCAGAGCAGUGAAAACCGCAAAACCCACAUACAGAUCGAUGAUCUUGAGGCUAGUGGGAGUGGCAGAAUAGGCAGAGCGGAAGGGAAUUGAAGAGAGCUUGGGCAUCCUUGCUGGUUGAUCUUGCCAUUUCAAGCCAAGAAACAAAGCUCUACACUAGCAACUGCAACUUCAAAUUCAAUAUUGCUUGAGGAGAUAAUUAGGGGUUUAAGCAAAUCUCUUCGAA
rnacentral:misc_RNA from 1 species